AUUGAACGCUGGCGGCAUGCUUUACACAUGCAAGUCGAACGGCAGCGCGGGCUUCGGCCUGGCGGCGAGUGGCGAACGGGUGAGUAAUGCAUCGGAACGUGCCCAGUAGUGGGGGAUAGCCCGGCGAAAGCCGGAUUAAUACCGCAUACGACCUGAGGGUGAAAGCGGGGGACCGAAAGGCCUCGCGCUAUUGGAGCGGCCGAUGUCGGAUUAGCUAGUUGGUGGGGUAAAGGCUUACCAAGGCGACGAUCCGUAGCUGGUCUGAGAGGACGACCAGCCACACUGGGACUGAGACACGGCCCAGACUCCUACGGGAGGCAGCAGUGGGGAAUUUUGGACAAUGGGGGCAACCCUGAUCCAGCCAUGCCGCGUGCGGGAAGAAGGCCUUCGGGUUGUAAACCGCUUUUGUUCGGGAAGAAAUCUUCUGGGCUAAUACCCCGGGGGGAUGACGGUACCGGAAGAAUAAGCACCGGCUAACUACGUG
rnacentral:rRNA from 1 species